UGGGGAAUAUUGGGCAAUGGGCGAAAGCCUGACCCAGCGACGCCGCGUGGGGGAAGAAGUCUUUCGGGAUGUAAACCCUUGUUGUACGGGACGAAGGAAGUGACGGUACCGUACGAGGAAGCCCCGGCAAACUACGUGCCAGCAGCCGCGGUAAUACGUCGGGGGCGAGCGUUGUCCGGAAUUACUGGGCGUAAAGCGCAGGUAGGCGGGCUGUUAAGUCGGCCGUGAAAGGCACUGGCUCAACCGGUGUUUGUCGGGCGAUACUGGCGGGCUGGAGUAUGGGAGAGGGAACUGGAAUU
rnacentral:rRNA from 1 species